GUCGACGGGGUGCUGCAUGGCUGUCGUCAGCUCGUGUCGUGAGAUGUUGGGUUAAGUCCCGCAACGAGCGCAACCCUUGUCUUUUUUUUCCCACAUUAAGUUGGGCACUCUAGAGGGACUGCCGGGGAUAACCUGGAGAAGGGGGGGGAUGACAUCAAAUCUUCUUGCCCCUUAUGCUUAGGGGUACACACGUGUUACAAUGGGGGGUACAAAGGGCAGCCAAGACCCGAGGGGGAGCUAAUCCCUUAAAACCCUUCCCUCUUCAGAUAGUAGACUGAAACUCUCCACUCUGAAAAUGGAGAAUCUAUAAAUCGCGCAUAUCAAUGCUGCGG
rnacentral:rRNA from 1 species